AUUUAACUCAAGGUGAAUGUUGAUAAACAGAGGAUGAGAACUCAGAUCAGUGAUUCUUUGAAUUGUUUUUUCAGUCAGGUUUUGGGGGCGGGAUUGGAGGUCACCAUCAUAUCUGCGCGUGUUAUAUGGCUUCUUGCAUCAGAUUUGAAUUUUCUAAACCCACUCUCUAUUCUUCUUUGAUUCUUCCUGAUACUGUAUAAGCAUGUGAAAUCUAAGUUGUCUUCAUCCUUCUGUUGGACGCUCAUGUGAGAAAACUGUCGAGGGGCCUCAGUGGGAGUCGGAAAUCUGCAUUUUGGUGUGUUUAAGGUUUUGUUUGUUUUAAUCAGUAGAUAGCUGUUUCAGUUCAUUUUCAUUAUAUUCUUCAAUACUUUAUGGGAAUCACAGGUUGUUGAACAACUUUAGGACUUAGGAGGAACAUCACAAUUAAGACCAACGUCACCUUUCAGAAGCACUAUCUGGGUUUGGAGUUGCCUUGCUACUUUCAAUGGAGUAAAUUUAGAGAGAUGUAUCAGCUGGAGGCAGUGAAGCAGCAACCUGAAGGUUGAACUGUGCUUUUUAAGAAAUCCUCUAGAAUAGGUCCAGCUUUAACCCCCCUACUUAAAACUCAAGUAGUUGGCCUGUAAAAGUGAUUUUGAAUUACACUUUCCAAAGUGGGGAGCAUUUCUUAACAAUCGUCAAGGUGAUAAACAAUGCUGUAGAGAUACCUAGCCUCAACACUUUAUGAUGCAUAUG
rnacentral:lncRNA from 1 species